rnacentral:rRNA from 1 species
AUUGAACGCUGGCGGCAGGCCUAACACAUGCAAGUCGAACGGCGUGGCGGACGGGUGAGUAAUGUCUGGGAAACUGCCUGAUGGAGGGGGAUAACUACUGGAAAAGGGCGCUAAUACCGCAUACUAUCAGAUGAGCCUAGGUCGGAUGAGCUAGUUGGGGGGGUAAAGGCCUACCAAGGCGACGAUCCGUAACUGGUCUGAGAGGAUGAUCAGUCCAACUGGAACUUAGACACGGUCAAGACUCCUACGGGAGGCAGCAGUGGGGAAUAUUGGACAAUGGGCGAAAGCCUGAUCCAGCCAUGUCGCGUGUGUGAAGAAGGUCUUCGGAUUGUAAAGCACUUUAAGUUGGGAGGCGUUACCAACAGAAUAAGCACCGGCUAACUUCGUGCCAGCAGCCGCGAUAAUUC